rnacentral:lncRNA from 1 species
AGGGCGAUUUUGGGGUCAAUGGGAUUUGGGGUGAAAAAGGGGAUUUUGGGUGGGGGUUUUGGGGUCAAAAAGUGGGAUUUUGGGGUCAAUGGGAUUUUGGGGUGAAAAUGGGGGAUUUUGGGGUCAAGAAUGGGGAGAUUUGGGGUGAAAAAGGGGGAUUUUGGGGUCAGAAAUGGGGAUUUUUGAGGGGGAUUUUGGGUUGAAAAAGGGGGAUUUUGGGGUCAAUGGGAUUUUGGGGUCAAUGGGAUUUUGGGGUCAAAAAGGGCCAUUUUGGGGUCAAAAAGGGGAAUUUGUGGUCAAAAAGGGCGAUUUUGGGUUGAAAAAGGUGGAUUUUGGGGUCAAUGGGAUUUUGGGUUG